CCUACGGGUGGCAGCAGUGGGGAAUAUUGCACAAUGGGGGAAACCCUGAUGCAGCGACGCCGCGUGAGUGAAGAAGUAUUUCGGAAUGUAAAGAUCUAUCAGCAGGGAAGAAGAAAGACGGUACCUGACUAAGAAGCCCCGGCUAACUACGUGCCAGAAGCCGCGGUAAUACGUAGGGGACAAGCGUUAUCCGGAUUUACAGGGCGUAAAGGGAGCGUAGACGGCUGUGCAAGUCUGAAGUUAAAGCCCAGGGCUCAACCCUUGGACUGCUUGUGAAACUGUGGAGCUAGAGUGCUGGAGAGGUAAGUGGAAUGCCUAGUGUAGCGGUGAAAUGCGUAGAUAUUAGGAGGAACACCAGUGGCGAAGGCGGCUUACUGGACUGUAACUGACGUUGAGGCUCGAAAGCGUGGGGAGCAAACAGGAUUAGAUACCCGGGUAGUC
rnacentral:rRNA from 1 species